rnacentral:rRNA from 1 species
CAGUAGCCACGGUAAAACGAAGGGGGCUAGCGUUGUUCGGAUUUACUGGGCGUAAAGGGCGCGUAGGCGGACUGGUAAGUCAGGGGUGAAAUCCCAAGGCUCAACCUUGGAACUGCCUUUGAUACUGUUUGUCUUGAGUUCGAGAGAGGUAAGUGGAACUGCGAGUGUAGAGGUGAAAUUCGUAGAUAUUCGCAAGAACACCAGUGGCGAAGGCGACUCUCUGGUCUGUAACUGACGCUGAGGAGCGAAAGCGUGGGGAGCGAACAGGAUUAGAGACCCCAGUAGUCCCUGUCUCUUAUAC